rnacentral:rRNA from 1 species
CACCGGCGGCCCGAGUGGUAGCCGCUAUUAUUGGGUCUAAAGGGUCCGUAGCCGGUUUGAUCAGUCUUCCGGGAAACCUGACAGCUUAACUGUUAGGCUUCUGGGGGAUACUGUCAGACUUGGAACCGGGAGAGGUAAGAGGUACUACAGGGGUAGGAGUGAAAUCUUGUAAUCCUUGUGGGACCACCAGUGGCGAAGGCGUCUUACCAGAACGGGUUCGACGGUGAGGGACGAAAGCUGGGGGCACGAACCGGAUUAGAUACCCGGGUAGUCCCAGCCGUAAACGAUGCUCGCUAGGUGUCUGGGAUGGUGCGACCGUUUCAGGUGCCGCAGGGAAGCCGUGAAGCGAGCCACCUGGGAAGUACGGCCGCAAGGCUGAAACUUAAAGGAAUUGGCGGGGGAGCACUACAACGGGUGGAGCCUGCGGUUU